rnacentral:rRNA from 2 species
UUAAGCGACUAAGCGUACACGGUGGAUGCCCUGGCAGUCAGAGGCGAUGAAGGACGUGCUAAUCUGCGAUAAGCGUCGGUAAGGUGAUAUGAACCGUUAUAACCGGCGAUUUCCGAAUGGGGAAACCCAGUGUGUUUCGACACACUAUCAUUAACUGAAUCCAUAGGUUAAUGAGGCGAACCGGGGGAACUGAAACAUCUAAGUACCCCGAGGAAAAGAAAUCAACCGAGAUUCCCCCAGUAGCGGCGAGCGAACGGGGAGCAGCCCAGAGCCUGAAUCAGUGUGUGUGUUAGUGGAAGCGUCUGGAAAGGCGCGCGAUACAGGGUGACAGCCCCGUACACAAAAAUGCACAUGCUGUGAGCUCGAUGAGUAGGGCGGGACACGUGGUAUCCUGUCUGAAUAUGGGGGGACCAUCCUCCAAGGCUAAAUACUCCUGACUGACCGAUAGUGAACCAGUACCGUGAGGGAAAGGCGAAAAGAACCCCGGCGAGGGGAGUGAAAAAGAACCUGAAACCGUGUACGUACAAGCAGUGGGAGCACGCUUCGGCGUGUGACUGCGUACCUUUUGUAUAAUGGGUCAGCGACUUAUAUUCUGUAGCAAGGUUAACCGAAUAGGGGAGCCGAAGGGAAACCGAGUCUUAACUGGGCGUUAAGUUGCAGGGUAUAGACCCGAAACCCGGUGAUCUAGCCAUGGGCAGGUUGAAGGUUGGGUAACACUAACUGGAGGACCGAACCGACUAAUGUUGAAAAAUUAGCGGAUGACUUGUGGCUGGGGGUGAAAGGCCAAUCAAACCGGGAGAUAGCUGGUUCUCCCCGAAAGCUAUUUAGGUAGCGCCUCGUGAAUUCAUCUCCGGGGGUAGAGCACUGUUUCGGCAAGGGGGUCAUCCCGACUUACCAACCCGAUGCAAACUGCGAAUACCGGAGAAUGUUAUCACGGGAGACACACGGCGGGUGCUAACGUCCGUCGUGAAGAGGGAAACAACCCAGACCGCCAGCUAAGGUCCCAAAGUCAUGGUUAAGUGGGAAACGAUGUGGGAAGGCCCAGACAGCCAGGAUGUUGGCUUAGAAGCAGCCAUCAUUUAAAGAAAGCGUAAUAGCUCACUGGUCGAGUCGGCCUGCGCGGAAGAUGUAACGGGGCUAAACCAUGCACCGAAGCUGCGGCAGCGACGCUGAUGCGUUGUUGGGUAGGGGAGCGUUCUGUAAGCCUGCGAAGGUGUGCUGUGAGGCAUGCUGGAGGUAUCAGAAGUGCGAAUGCUGACAUAAGUAACGAUAAAGCGGGUGAAAAGCCCGCUCGCCGGAAGACCAAGGGUUCCUGUCCAACGUUAAUCGGGGCAGGGUGAGUCGACCCCUAAGGCGAGGCCGAAAGGCGUAGUCGAUGGGAAACAGGUUAAUAUUCCUGUACUUGGUGUUACUGCGAAGGGGGGACGGAGAAGGCUAUGUUGGCCGGGCGACGGUUGUCCCGGUUUAAGCGUGUAGGCUGGUUUUCCAGGCAAAUCCGGAAAAUCAAGGCUGAGGCGUGAUGACGAGGCACUACGGUGCUGAAGCAACAAAUGCCCUGCUUCCAGGAAAAGCCUCUAAGCAUCAGGUAACAUCAAAUCGUACCCCAAACCGACACAGGUGGUCAGGUAGAGAAUACCAAGGCGCUUGAGAGAACUCGGGUGAAGGAACUAGGCAAAAUGGUGCCGUAACUUCGGGAGAAGGCACGCUGAUAUGUAGGUGAAGUCCCUCGCGGAUGGAGCUGAAAUCAGUCGAAGAUACCAGCUGGCUGCAACUGUUUAUUAAAAACACAGCACUGUGCAAACACGAAAGUGGACGUAUACGGUGUGACGCCUGCCCGGUGCCGGAAGGUUAAUUGAUGGGGUUAGCCGCAAGGCGAAGCUCUUGAUCGAAGCCCCGGUAAACGGCGGCCGUAACUAUAACGGUCCUAAGGUAGCGAAAUUCCUUGUCGGGUAAGUUCCGACCUGCACGAAUGGCGUAAUGAUGGCCAGGCUGUCUCCACCCGAGACUCAGUGAAAUUGAACUCGCUGUGAAGAUGCAGUGUACCCGCGGCAAGACGGAAAGACCCCGUGAACCUUUACUAUAGCUUGACACUGAACAUUGAGCCUUGAUGUGUAGGAUAGGUGGGAGGCUUAGAAGUGUGGACGCCAGUCUGCAUGGAGCCGACCUUGAAAUACCACCCUUUAAUGUUUGAUGUUCUAACGUUGACCCGUAAUCCGGGUUGCGGACAGUGUCUGGUGGGUAGUUUGACUGGGGCGGUCUCCUCCUAAAGAGUAACGGAGGAGCACGAAGGUUGGCUAAUCCUGGUCGGACAUCAGGAGGUUAGUGCAAUGGCAUAAGCCAGCUUGACUGCGAGCGUGACGGCGCGAGCAGGUGCGAAAGCAGGUCAUAGUGAUCCGGUGGUUCUGAAUGGAAGGGCCAUCGCUCAACGGAUAAAAGGUACUCCGGGGAUAACAGGCUGAUACCGCCCAAGAGUUCAUAUCGACGGCGGUGUUUGGCACCUCGAUGUCGGCUCAUCACAUCCUGGGGCUGAAGUAGGUCCCAAGGGUAUGGCUGUUCGCCAUUUAAAGUGGUACGCGAGCUGGGUUUAGAACGUCGUGAGACAGUUCGGUCCCUAUCUGCCGUGGGCGCUGGAGAACUGAGGGGGGCUGCUCCUAGUACGAGAGGACCGGAGUGGACGCAUCACUGGUGUUCGGGUUGUCAUGCCAAUGGCACUGCCCGGUAGCUAAAUGCGGAAGAGAUAAGUGCUGAAAGCAUCUAAGCACGAAACUUGCCCCGAGAUGAGUUCUCCCUGACUCCUUGAGAGUCCUGAAGGAACGUUGAAGACGACGACGUUGAUAGGCCGGGUGUGUAAGCGCAGCGAUGCGUUGAGCUAACCGGUACUAAUGAACCGUGAGGCUUAACCUU